ACGGGAGGCAGCAGUGAGGAAUAUUGGUCAAUGGGCGAGAGCCUGAACCAGCCAAGUAGCGUGCAGGAUGACGGCCCUAUGGGUUGUAAACUGCUUUUAACCGGGAAUAACGUUACCUUCGUGAAGGUAAGUGCAUGUACCGGUUGAAUAAGGAUCGGCUAACUCCGUGCCAGCAGCCGCGGUAAUACGGAGGAUUCGAGCGUUAUCCGGAUUUAUUGGGUUUAAAGGGAGCGUAGGCGGGAAGUCAAGUCAGCUGUGAAAUGUAGACGCUCAACGUCUGCACUGCAGUUGAAACUGGUUUUCUUGAGUGCGUAAGAGGCAGGCGGAAUUCGUCGUGUAGCGGUGAAAUGCUUAGAUAUGACGAAGAACUCCGAUCGCGAAGGCAAGUGUCCGGAGUGCAACUGACGCUGAGGCUCGAAAGUGUGGGUAUCAAACAGGAUUAGAUACCCUGGUA
rnacentral:rRNA from 1 species